rnacentral:lncRNA from 1 species
ACAAUUGACAGAUUAUCUUGUAAAUAAAUAAAUCUAAAAAUCUAAAUAGUUAUCCUAACAAAACAAAGUCGGGAACAAUGGAUAAAAGCCAGAAGGAGAACAAAACUAAAAUUAAAAUAUGAAAGAAUAUGCAAUAAACAUUGUGUAAGUGAAAAGCCAGCCACUUUAAAAAGAUGUUCCAAACCAAAACAUGAGUUACCAAAGCAGGCAAUAAAAAGAAAAGGUGAACUAGAAUUCAAGAAAAGAGCUGAUGAAAGAAGUAAAUAUAAAGAAAAUAAUGCGGAGACUUCUCUCGACCAUGAACAAACACCAGAUAUUUUAUAUAUGCAGAAAAAGGAAAAACUGCUGGAACUUUAAUUUAAAGGCUUUUGACUAGUGAAGAUUUGGAUAAACAACAGGAGUUACUUUGGGCUAUAGCUACGUGCAAAUUUAUUUUCUUGUGGCUUCCUAUGUUUAUUCUUAUUAACUAUACACUUUGAUAUGUUUUUAGUCGCAUGAAGAUUUUAUAGUUUAUUAUUUUAUGUAUAUUGUUAUAUUUGUGUUGAAUAAACAUUAUUAUUAUUA